rnacentral:rRNA from 1 species
GAUGAACGCUGGCGGCGUGCCUAAUACAUGCAAGUCGAGCGAACAGAUGAGGAGCUUGCUCCUCUGACGUUAGCGGCGGACGGGUGAGUAACACGUGGAUAACCUACCUAUAAGACUGGGAUAACUUCGGGAAACCGGAGCUAAUACCGGAUAAUAUAUUGAACCGCAUGGUUCAAUAGUGAAAGACGGUUUUGCUGUCACUUAUAGAUGGAUCCGCGCCGCAUUAGCUAGUUGGUAAGGUAACGGCUUACCAAGGCGACGAUGCGUAGCCGACCUGAGAGGGUGAUCGGCCACACUGGAACUGAGACACGGUCCAGACUCCUACGGGAGGCAGCAGUAGGGAAUCUUCCGCAAUGGGCGAAAGCUUGACGGAGCGACGCCGCGUGAGUGAUGAAGGUCUUCGGAUCGUAAAACUCUGUUAUUAGGGAAGAACAAAUGUGUAAGUAACUAUGCACGUCUUGACGGUACCUAAUCAGAAAGCCACGGCUAACUACGUG